UACGGAAGGGGCAAGCGUUGUUCGGAAUCAUUGGGCGUAAAGGGCGCGUAGGUGGUUCUGUGUGUCUAUCGUGAAAGGGUACAGCUCAACUGUAGCUCGUCGGUAGAAACUGCAGGACUUGAGGCUGGGAGGGGCUGGUGGAAUUCCCUGUGUAGCGGUGAAAUGCGUAGAGAUGGGGGAGAACACUCGUGGCGAAGGCGGCCAGCUGGACCAGUUCUGACACUGAGGCGCGAUAGCGUGGGGAGCAAACAGG
rnacentral:rRNA from 1 species